rnacentral:rRNA from 1 species
UACGNAGGGGGUUAGCGUUGUUCGGAAUUACUGGGCGUAAAGCGCGCGUAGGCGGACCAGAAAGUUGGGGGUGAAAUCCCGGGGCUCAACCCCGGAACGGCCUCCAAAACUCCUGGUCUUGAGUUCGAGAGAGGUGAGUGGAAUUCCGAGUGUAGAGGUGAAAUUCGUAGAUAUUCGGAGGAACACCAGUGGCGAAGGCGGCUCACUGGCUCGAUACUGACGCUGAGGUGCGAAAGUGUGGGGAGCAAACAGC